UAGCUGCAGGCUCCGCCGCUUCCGUCUUCAGUAGUCAGCAGCGUCGCGAUCGCUGUCAGGAGAGGGAUUUCUAACAGCUCCCUCCGUUCUUCGGUCCGCCAGCCCAGUUGCUGUAUGUGGAUUUUCUCGGCGGCGGCCUCGAGGGCGAGGGCCGGGCGAGCUGAAGUUCAACUGUGACCCGCGGCGGGGCGGCGGGGGAGAGGCCGCCCGGAGGCAGCCCCUUUAGAAUUUAAAAGUUUUCAUGAGCCUGCUUCUUCAGGCCGCCCUGGCCUCCGAGUGAGGCAGGGGGACAUACCUCACUCUCUUCUAACUUCAUCAACAUCACAGAACCUGAUGCUCACCACCUCAAGGUUUACUGAUUCUCUCCAUAUCCACAUCUUUUGAAAAAGUGAGUGGUAUCAUCCACUUCCCAACUCUUGUGAUUAUUCUGAUGCAUAACCAACAUUGAGAACUUCUUCCAUAAGUAUCUUCUAACUCCUAAAUGGAUUAGUGCCCAACUGGGCAUUUGUGUCCAUCAGAGUCUCCUACCCAUAUGGUUUAUCUCAAGAAAAUAAGUGCUAAACCUAGGAAGAACCUAGAGCGACUACCCAAGGACUGCUGGGACAAUGAGAAGCUAAUAUGUUAUUAUCAGGACCAAAUGGUGAAAGCAUUUUGAUGCUGUAAAAGCUGUACAAAUAUUAUUUCAAAGAAUCGACUAUUCAUUUCAGGGCCAAAGACUCCAGAGGCUACCCUUCCCUCUGAGCCUUAUACUUGUCCCCCAAAAUAGUAUACAGGAGAGAAAAUGUGGUGAGAAAUCUGUUUCUCUGAAAGUCAAGAGAAAUGAGUGAUCCAAGAUGAGAAAAGGGACAGGCAGCGAAAAACAAGGAAGCAACUGGUGUGUCCAUCUCUGCAGGGGCUCCACAGAUGCAGUAUGGGCUUAAGUGUGAGCUUAAGAAGCUAAAGAGAAAUAAGGCAAGGGGAAGAUGGAAUUCUACAGAAAGUAUCAAGUAAGAAUUGUACCUGCUUUCUGAAUAAAAAAGAGGCAGUGCCUGGGAUGCUGGGACCGCACUGACGCCGGCCAGGGGCCCCAGUCACUGCUGAGUCAGAGACAUGACUCUGAGUGACCCCACUGAGCCCCAGGACUCUCAGCUGCAAAACAGAGACCAGAGACCCCAUCACAGGCUUGUCGGGCUGAAUGGGAGGUGAGCACAGAUGAGCUUCACUGACUGUAAGAUGCUGCAGGAACAUUACAGCUGUCUUAUGCCUAGUAGACCCACUACUUUGACCUCAGCCAGUGAGAAGAGGUUAUGCUCCACAAGUCCAAUGAGAACUAAACAAUGAUUCACAAAGGGUGAGAAGAAAGGGGUUUCCAAUCAACUCUAUUUUUACAGGGAAAAAAUCAAUCAAACGUGUCCUGUGGUUCCAACCAUCUAUAAUGCUUCAGAGCACACCCCUCCCAUUUCAGAAUGAAUCAUGUCACUAAUCACUAGUGGUUAAAUCAAUCUCAAAGGGAGGACCGCUUGGUUGCUUCUCUCACAUUUGAAAGAUGAAGCACUUAAUUAUGUAUUCUGUAAUUAGCUUGUAAUUCUCACAAAAGGCACAUGAGGAAUGUUAAUGGUGCCGUGUGGAGAGCAUGCAGUAUAUUUGAUAUUCCAGGACCAUCCUGUGGAAGAGGGUUACUGGGUACAGGACUGGAAUCAUCACCAGCACCGUUCAACUGGAAGGAUAUCCUAGAGGUAGUUCCCAUCAGCACAGGGAAGGUGCAGUGGAGAGGGAAGGGCGGCCACGGCCAUUACCUAGGAAGUUUAUUUCUUAAUUAUAUUAGCUGUAGUGCUGUUGGCCAUCUGAAAAGACUGGGCUUUGUGCUGAGAUGACAUUUUUGAGUUGGAUAUUCCCAGAAGUCAUGGGGCUCAACUGCCUCUUCCGUAUUGUUGUGGGAGCAUUAGACAUUCCUCCCAGAACUGGCUCCUUGGGUAGCAAGCUGUUACGAAAAGCCUUUUAAGUUCAAAGGGUGACAGAGCAUGUUGAGGUAAUCAGGACCAAGAAGUCUCUUCUCCGGGCCUAAGACCAAGCAGUGGGAAUGUAAGAACUGGGUUAUCACUGAUUCACCCAGUGGGUGCCUGGCCAGACCUCAACCCUCAGGAAGGCAUUGAAUUUCUGUGCAAGCAAUGAAGUGUGAAUUACAUUCCAGUAUGGUGGGCUCUGCCUAUUCACAGAAGCAAAAGGAAAAUGUGGUAGAUAUGUGCAAAAUCUGCUCUCAUUAUCCCCCUCCCUGCACCCACACCUAUGUGCAAUGUGGCUUUUCAGUCCUCCUAGCAAAUGUCUUUUUCCUAAUCCUUUCAGUCUGAUCUGGUCUCAUGACUUGUUUUGCCAAAAGGCCACAGCAGAGCCAUCCAUGCAGCCCUCCCCUGUUAUGUUCAGGGCCUGCCCACCUGAGUGAUAGAAGCACUAGCCUCUGGUGUUUGCUCUGCCUCCCUGCAAGUCCCCCAGCUCCUACUCUAACCCCACUCUUUGUGCUCAAUGGCCUUGUUUCUUUAGCCAUGUUUUUUUUCUGACCACAGUUCCCCCGUUACCUGCCCCCAUUUAUCUUGAACAAGUCAUUGAGCUCAGCUUAAUUCUACUCUUUCACCAACUCCCUCUCACACUCACAUGUUCUGGCUUGUGUCUGUGCCAUGGGCAGGAACUGCUCACCAUGAAGUCACUGACGGCUCCCGAGUCCCAGUUCAAUGGCCUUGCUCCAUUCUUCUUAUUCAGUGUCACUGCAGUCCUUCACCUUGUUCUCUGUGACUUCCUUUUAGGAGAGUUUACUUAGGCAAGUUUCCAAAAAUAAACUGUAUUUUACAGAAUCCUUUCAUUCAAGAAAGUCUCAAAGCCUGACCAUGAUCAUAAUGAGAGACUUGCACCUUCAGCAUUGCUUCCAAGUGGGAGCAGGAUUCCUGACUCUGAGGAGACAGCCACGACAUAAGAAAGGAGGUGAAGAUGCACUUAGUGUGACUCUGUGUGUCCCGGCAUGUUCCAAGACAGUCUUACUCUUUCUAAAGGGUAUCAUCACAUAUGAUCAGAUAGACGGUAGACUCAGAAGAGCCCGAGGAUAGUUUCAGGAGUUCAGAGUGGAGCCCCAGCUCAGCCCUCAGUAGCGUCCAGCCUGCACACUACCAGGCACUGGUCAGUGUAGUGGACACAGUGGCCAGACUGUGAACUCCUUGAAGGCAGGGUUUCUUUCUAUACUUGUUGGUACCCACAGAGACUAGCAAAAUGUCUACAAUGUAAUGGAUGGUCAGUAAACAUUUAAAUAUUU